rnacentral:rRNA from 1 species
AGAACGAACGCUGGCGGCAUGCCUAACACAUGCAAGUCGAACGAGACCUUCGGGUCUAGUGGCGCACGGGUGCGUAACGCGUGGGAAUCUGCCCUUGGGUUCGGGAUAACAGUUGGAAACGACUGCUAAUACCGGAUGAUGAC